CUUUGCUCAACAUAAUCAAUAACUUCUGACUCAUCAACUAGCAGUAAUUCUUGCUGAGAGAUUUGAUCAGUGUCGCCUUGAACAAAGGCAGGAGUGGGUGAUCUUAUCUGCACUUCUUCCUCUGGUUCAGAGUUCGAGAUGGAUGAUUUGCAUCACAUGUGAGACUCAUGGUCUUAUCAUCUUCAGACAUCUACGAAUGUUGGUUCGGUCAUGGAUUAUCUCUCUAUCAUGCUUAGUGGGGUCAUCCUAGCCUUGCCAAGAUACGACAACUUGUUCCAAGUUUGUCUUGUAAGUCAUGUCAAUUAGGAAAACACGGUCUUAGUUCUUUUCUAAGAAGUGUUUCACAACGUGCUUUGUUUCCUUUUGCAUUAUUUCGUUCUGACAUCUGGGGGACCAAGUCAUGUUAAGUCAAAUUUAGGAUUUUAGUAUUUUGUCACUUUUAUUGAUGAUUAUUCAAGAUGUACUUGGUUGUUUUUAAUGAAAGAUCGGUCUGAGUUGUUGUCUAUA